UAAAGCUUACUCACAGCAUACAAGCAUUGGUGAACAUGCUAUCGACGUGAAUGUAAAGUAAUUGAUCGUAAAAUCUCCCUCCUCUUAAAUAACACAUGGCAUAACCGAUUUUUAUAACGAAUGUGAAAUUAUGUUCUCAGACGGACCUUGUUCAUUUUAAUCGUUCUAAAAUUUGCUCUUUGUCAAAAUAUGUCGCCCGUUUAUAACGUUGUGAGGAAAGGCUACAUAUCUGAAUGGCAUUGUUUUUGUUAAAAUUCGAAGCCGGUCCUGAACAUAUGUUUCUAUUGACUUGAAUAAUUUGUGCCCCAGAUCAGUGAUUGGCAUUGCCAUUUGAAAGGAAAAAUAAUGUCCCCUUGGUCGUAUGAAAUAUUUAAUGCCUAAUAUUUUAUAUAAACCUUAUUGUUAUUUGGAAAUCUGCAACGCUUGACAUGAGAAUCUGUGAUCCCAGGUUUUUUAGGUCAUACAAGAAUUACCUAAAUACCUUUGUGGCAUCAGACAUCUUCGAGUCUGACAAAACGGUAUCAGGUCCGUUCGCGCAAAAUAUACUUUCGCGCCUCACAUGUUUGCCCCCGAAGUAUGUUCGCGCCCAAUUUAUACCAAAUAAUUCUAUUUUCUUGAAUAAAAUUUGAGGAAUUAUAUACUUAUAUAAUAAAUAUAAUUUUUGUCGAGCCUGCAACUUUUGUUGCAGAAAGCUCGACAUAGGGAUAGUGAUCCGGCGGCUACGGCGGCGGCUACGGCGGCGGUGUUAGCUAACUUCUUAAAAGCUUUAUAUUUUAGAAGGUGGAAGACCUGGAUGCUUUAUACUUUGUAUAUAGAUGCCUCAUGUUACGAAGUUUCCGUCAGUCACAUGUCCAAUGUCCAAUGUCCUUGACCUCAUUUUCAUGGUUCAGUGACCACUUGAAAAAAAAGUUAAGAUUUUUUGUAAUGUUGAAUUCUCUCUUAUUAUAAGUAAUAGAUAACUAUAUUUGAUAUGUGCGUACCUUGAAAGGUCCUCAUGUCUGUCAGACAGUUUUCACUUGACCUCGACCUCAUUCAUGGAUCAGUGAACAGGUUAAGUUUUGGUGGUCAAGUCCAUAUCUCAGAUACUACAAGCAAUAGGGCUAGUAUAUUCGUCGUAUGGAAGGACUGUAAGGUGUACAUCUCCAACUGGCAGGUGUCAUCUGACCUUGACCUCAUUUUCAUGGUUCAGUGGUUAUAGUUAAAUUUUUGUGUUUUGGUCUGUUUUUCUCAUACUAUAUGCAAUAGGUCUACUAUAUUUAUUGUAUGGAAUGAUUGUAAGGUGUACCUAUCUAGCGGGCAGAUGUCAUGUGACCUUGACCUCAUUUUCAUGGUUCAGUGGUCAAAGUUAAGUUUUUGAGUUUUGGUCUUUUUAUCUAAAACUAUAUGCCAUAGGACAUCUAUAUUUGGUGUAUGGAAAUAUUUUAUGAUCUUUAUGUCAGUCGCGCAGGUUUUAUUUGACCAUGACCUCAUUUUCACGGUUCAUUGCACAGUGUUAAGUUUUUGUGUUUUGGUCUAUUUUCUUAAACUAUAAGUAAUAGGUCAACUAUAUAUGUUGUAUAGAAGCAUUGUUAGCUGUACAUGUCUUCCUGGCAUGGUUCAUCUGACCUUGACCUCAUUUUCAAGGUUUAUUGGUCUUUGUUUAGUUAUCUUGGUUAUGUUAAGUUUAUGUACAGUUGUAUUAAAGCUUAGCUUUAUACUUAGGACUAUCAACAUAAUAUCAAUGAUUAGUAUAGAAGGCGAGACAUUUCAGCGUGUGCACUCUUGUUUUUAUUAAUUUGAUGAUUAAUUGGCCGUUUCAGAAUCUAAAGCAUCAUGGGUAAUUUCAUUGUUCGUACCCCAAAGUGAAAAUAACGUUACGUCAUGGUUGAAUUUCCAUUGUUUAUAACGUUUUAAACCAAUCAAAACGCUUUGGUGUACGCUUUUGAAAAUAUUACCCAGGAUGCAUUAGAUUCUGAAACGGCGAAUUAUUAAAUGUUAGUUAUGUAUGAUUACUGCUAAUUGGUAAAUUAUACACAGCUAAAUUUGGUGUUAUUGCUGAGUGUUUAAAAAUCAUGAUUGUUGUUUUAACUUGCAAAUUGCUUGGAUGUAAAUACUGCAUGUAUUUAGCUUGGUAUGAGUAAAACUUUGAAGAUUUUGAAUCAAAAACUCGAAAGAUAAUUGUUUUUUACAGCUUGGCUGCUUUGAACUCAUGUAAAAAAAAAUAUUUAUAGCAAUACACUAACCAAAACCUGAUUUAGAUUUUAUCAACACAUAAAAAAACGUCAGAAUCUCACUUAAUUUAGAAACAAUGAAAAAAUAUAUUUAUAUAGAGCAGUACAUUUGCCUAAACAUCAUCAAGAUUUAUUCAACACUUUAAGAAAACGUUGUCAGAAUCUAACUAUAUGUAGAAACAAUGAAAAAAAAUAUUUAUAUAUAGCAAUACACUCACCAUGCUUACCAAAACUUGAUUCCAAAUUAAAUAAAUAAUACCAAUGAAAAUUGUGCGCGAACGUGUAGGGUGUGAACAGACUUUGGGUGCGAAAGUGAAAGGGCGCGAACGUUAAUGGGUGCGAAUGUGAUUGGGCGCGAACAGACCCGGAUUCAAAACGGAACAUGUGUGACACGGUCAGAUUUCACUAUCCUAUAUAUUGUAAAACUAUUGACUGCUGUGAGAUACUGUCAAUGACAUGACAAUUUUUUCUAAUCAUGCUAUUUGAAUAGACGAAUUUGCCCCGGCAUUGUCUAGGUCGCAUUAUAUCAUGUAGAUAACUUAUGUUAUUACACAUCACAAUAAGAUACAAUUGUUCAAUGACAGCAUAAUAUUAAUAAUAAAUACUUAAUUUAAAGACCAAUUAAGUUGAUUUACCUAGUAUCAUUUGGUGUUACUCAUUCAUAAAACCAUCUUGAGGUUAAUAGAAAAACAAAAGUACAAAAGGAUAAUAGAGUAUCCAUUCGUGACUCAAAAUCAGUAGUACAUGCACAGUAAAAACACACAAAAAAGCAAAGGAACAGCCCUUUCAUUAUCAUGAUUAUGUUCAUUGCUGUUCAUCAUCUAAAACAGCCUGGGGAGAACACUGACAUAUAUAUAUAUAUGAUAAGCACAAGACAUAAAAUAGUAAGCACAUCAUGCAAAGCAUACAUAUUGGUGUCAAGUUCUAGAAAAUAAUAAGCAAGAAUAAGACAGUUACAAUGUAUUUUCUAUUUGUCUAGCUGCUAGGAAAAGAAACUUGAUUUUUAUUCUAAUAUAUCCGAUGUGUAAAUCUGUUGUAGAGUUGUCACUGGCUCAGACGUACUUAUAAAUAUAAUUAUUUUCUAUGACUGUAUCUAACAUUAAUUUGUAGGAUCCUUAACUAUAGAUAAUUUAGCUGAUCUGUAAAAAACUACAUCUCCAUGCCUUAUAUAUCAUGUACUGUGUAGUACGACGCUAGAUUAAAACUGACGUGGAAAGGUAACACAUGCCCACCGAAAGCUUUAUUUUUAUGAAGCCCAGGUGGUCGUGUGGUCUAGGAAGGAUGCUACAGUUUCAGGCGAUUUGGUGUCACGAUAUCUCAGUAGCAUGGGUUUCAAUCCCGCGAGGGAAGAACAAAAACAUUUACGAAAGCAAAUUUACAGAUCUAACAUUUUGGUUGAUGUUUAGAUGAGUUGUAUAUAUAUAUAAGUACGUCUGAGCCCGUGACAACUCUACAACAGAUUUAUCCAUCGGAUCACCAACAGUGAUGGUGAUACAUGGCUGUGUACAUUAUGUUUUUCCCUCGCCAAUAUAUAAAUACAGUUAACUCUCGUUGUCUCGAACUCGGUUGACUCAAAAUUUCGGAUGCGUCAAAGUUUUCAGGUGGUCUUACACUUAGUUACAUAUAAAUGUAUGGAAUUUGACUCCUCAAAAUUUUAGUUGAGUCGAACUAAAUUUACAAUCCCUAGGUUAAGAAAAGCAUUUGGAAAUCAUUAUUUAUCUCGAACUAAUACACAAAAGUCAAAACAUGACCUCCAGCAUUUUAAAAAUGGAUUGAAGAGUUAAUCUGACAAUACACGUGUAACUGUAAUUAAAUUUCCAGUCACUGACCACUAUAUUGAUUUAUGACAUGCUAUUUCCACGAGUGUUUACAUAAGAUUAUCUUUUAUAGAAUUUUUAUAAAUAAUUAGUGAUACAUUGUUAACGUUCAUGAAAACGUAUUAAAAUGUUAACAAAACAAUUAAUUGUGAUUUACACUAAUGAGCUUGGGUGUGUAUAAGGUAAGGAUUAUGACUUCCGUUGAUGAUCACCUCAAAAAUACUCAAUCGGCUUCUUUAAUCUUGUUGUAUUUUCUUUUGAAAAGAAAGAGUGAGAUAAAACAAAAUGAAGAGAAAUCUAAAUUUUCUAAAAUCACUUGUAUCCGAGAAUAAACAAUUAUGUCAACUAUAAACAACCUGAAUAACGAAACUAUCGAUUGGAAAUUACUCUCUCGGAUAAAAGCCAUAGGAAAAAAAUUGUAACUGAAACAAUUGAAUAGGUAAAAGUAAUGUUAUUAUAAUGAUGAAAGACCAUGACAUACAAAUACAUCGAUCUGAUACCAGAAUAUCGAUCCCCUUCCCAUAUUCACCCGGAUUUAUUUAGAGUUGUGUCCCUUGUUCUGUCAAACUUCGGUUUUUGUUUGAGUCAAACUAUGUGUAUCUCGAAAUAUUUCUCUGGUCUGGCUGACUUUGAGAUAACGAGAGUCGACUGUAUAUACAUGUAUGUCAUGUGUGUUCAAAAAUCUUAAACCAGCCAAAGCAUGAAAAAUGAAACUUAGAUAUAUAUAUAUAGACAUUUUGUAUAUAUAAUUUGAUCAAUAAAUGUCAUUUCAGUUUGAACAGUUUACCUGCUUGCAUUAACACCAAUCACCAUGACGUCUGAAGCUGCAAUACACAAAAGAAAUUUAGAUAGUGCCAUCCUGUUUAUGCAACAAGAACAUGCAGAAACAUUAAAAGGCUUACACAAGGAAAUAGAAAAUCUUCAGAAAAAAUGUUCAGGUAAACAUGGUAAAAGAUAGGAAGAAAAAAAAUUGAUGUUUGGAAUGAAAGUUUUUAUUAUUGAGACAUUAAUCUGUCAAUCCUGCAACUCACAUAAAAAUCAAUAGUUUUCAUCGAUUGUUAGGCUCUAAAGGCUAUAAUUAUGCCGUUAGUUUCUUGUUUGAAAUGUUUACACUUGUGCUUUCAGGGCAAUACUAGCUGGCUAUGCAGUAUGGGCUUUGUUCAUUGUUGAAGGCCAUAUGUCAAUCUGAAUCAUAUGAAACCUGAUUUAAAAAUAACUUGAAUCUUUGUUUCCUUUGUCAUGUUUGUGCUUAGUUUUUAUCAUGAAAAUAUCUUUAUGUUUAUAAAAGCUACUUAACUUAAUGUAAUAAAUUGAUACUUUUAAAAGUUAAAUAGAAGAAAGAACCCUUAUAGUCUGUCUUGCUUGAAAAAUACAAAUAUUUUUAAAAGUUAAAUAGAAGAAAGAACCCUUAUAGUCUGUCUUGCUUGAAAAAUACAAAUAUUUUUAAAAUAAUAGAAGGACCCUUAUAGUCUGUCUUGCUUGAAAAUACAAAUAUUUUUAAAAGUGAAGAAGAACCCUAUAGGUCUUGUGCUUGAAAAAUACAAAUAUUUUUUAAAAGUUAAAUAGAAGAAAGAACCCUUAUAUCAAAAUACAAAUAUUUUAAAAGUUAAAUAGAAGAAAGAACCCUUAUAGUCUAAAUCUUAUAGUCUGUCUUGCUUGAAAAAUACAAAUAUUUUUUAAAAGUUAAUAGAAGAAAGAACCCUUAUAGUCUGUCUUGCUUGAAAAAUACAAAUAUUUUUAAAAGUUAAAUAGAAGAAAGAACCCUUAUAGUCUGUCUUGCUUGAAAAAUACAAAUAAAACUGAAGACAUAUUUUUUGUUUACAAUCUAAUAUGUUAUUAUUUUUUUUUCUGAAACUUCGAGGCCAAGCAGGUAAAAACUUUACCUAAAUCAAGUUUUUUUGUAUUGACUUAAAGUGGAACAUUAUGGUAAAAUGCAGUUUGAGUUUCUAUCAAAAACUAAGUAGUAAAAGCAAAUCUAACUUUGGUAAAAAUAAGAAAAAUCAGACACAUUAUAAAAAUAAGAUGAUGUGGUGUGAUUUCCAAUGAGACAAUUCAACACCAGAGACCAAACGACAUAAAACUUAGAAGUUAACAUGUUUAACAGUGAGCCAAAACCAUACCCCAUAGUCAGCUAUAACAUGCCCAAAAUGCCAAAUUCAAAAAAAAUCGAACAAAACUAUGACUUAUAUGAAAAAAACAAUUUAAAAAAAAAAUGAUACACAGCAACAAAAUGACAACCACUGCUGCUUUUUUGAGUUAUUGCCCUUUAAAUGUAGAUUUUUAGGCAAUUUGGUAAUUUUUGGUUAUAUUUAUUAUCUUCAAAAUUAUUUACAAUUAUAGAAAAACAAAAUGAUGUAGACAAACUCUUAAUACUGAAAAUGAUUAGAACAAUAAGAUCUUCAAAUUGACCAAAGAGCAGAUAACAGCUCUUUGUGUUAACAUGUCAGAAACUGUUGUUUCUCCCUGUUUACUGGAGGAAUUAUUGCCUUUGAAAGACAUUUAUUUCUGAAUUUUUUUAUCUUUGCAGAAAAUUAAAUUAAUUUAAUAUUAAGGGGUAUUUAUUGUAAAUAGCAAGAAUGUUUAGCAAAAUAAGAUCUAUUAAAUAUAAAGUCAACAUACACCUUCAUGUAGCUGUAAGCAAUCAGAUAAGUGAAUCAGUCCUUGUUAUUUGACUCUUCUAGCAGGCAACAGCUAAAGAAUGUACAUGAAGUCAAUAGAUAUAGGAGGAUGUGGUAUUAGUGCCAAUGAGACAACUCUCCAUCAAAGUCAGAAUUUAUAAAAGUAAACCAUUAUUGGUCAAGGAACAGCCUUCAUUCAACAAGGAGCCUAGGCUCACACUGAACAGCAAGCUUUAAAAGGUUCCAAAAAUUACUAGUGUAAAACCAUUCAAAUGGUAAAAACAAAUGAUCUAAUCUAUAUAAAAAGCUAGAAACACUUAUGAACUACAUAAACAGACGACAACUGCUAAGCAUCUAUAUAAAAAACAAGAAUCGAGAAACACCUCUGAACCACAUGUAUUUCAAUCCUAUUUAUACAAGUACAAUGUUAUACAUUAUUUCUUUAUUUCAGAGUUAACGUUUCAGUUGAAUAUGCAAGGAAUAGGAGCAGAUUUUCUAGAUCCAGGU
rnacentral:lncRNA from 1 species